AAAGUGUACCCCGAGGAAACAAAUUCGAUACAUCCUAGGAGGGCUGCUUCGUUUCCACUGGAGUCGAUCAGUCCACCGGAGGUUGUAAAGGGACCUGCUCGUGCGGCUUCCUUGCAGCCUGAUAUAUUGAGCCCCGGUGGAGGGAAUGUGCAUCCGAGACUACCGGAUUACGAUGAGUUGGCUGCACGGUUCAUGGCAUUGAAGAAAGCUUG
rnacentral:misc_RNA from 1 species